rnacentral:lncRNA from 1 species
AAUAUUCCAACAUUUACUUACUGAAACUCCCACGGCAGUUUCAUAUAUAUAUAUAUAGUUGUUAGAAUCUUGGUACACAAGUCAUGAUUACCCACUUUAGCUUUUGAAUAAUGGAAGAAGCUAGGAUCCUUUUUGUGUCUGUCAUAUCCAAGCAUGUAUGUCAGGCAUAUGCAUAAUAAUGCAUGCAGUAUAUGAAUUCAUAUCAUAUGUACAUAUACAGAACACUUUUUCUAGACGCAUGGCAAGCAACAAAGAUGAAUUAGGAAUAUGAAGAUCGCAUGUGAAUUCAAGAAAGAAAUACUACUACUAGUGCUUGAAACUUGAAAGAUGGUGUUGGCAAGUUGGGAAACAAAAUGGGACCCUUAUGCACCACUCCAUUGUUGAAGGGUCAUUCUCAAUUCCUAACUUUAUGUUCGUCAAAGUCAAAUUUCUCCAACAUCGUUCAUCAUUCUCAAAGAGCCACGGAUGGAUUAAAGAGAAAUUUAAUUUGGUCCCUCUCUUUGUCUUCACUAUAUGUGUUGUAAAAGAAAAUUAAUAAGACUUGAAUGGCACGCACCAAAAGCUACUUUUUCUGCAAACGCGUAUAUGUUUCUAUGUGUUUUUGAUUCCUUCUAUCCAAAUUCAAAUCCUCAUUGCAUGCUUGCUACUAUCAUUUGAUUUUCUAGAUGCACACGUGCUAGGGUUAUUUGCAUUCAUACUCCAUCUAUAUCUUUAAAUUUUUCAUGAGUACAUGCAAGUGAUUAAUAUCAUCUUAAUUAAUAAAGGCGUGAUUACUUAAA